rnacentral:rRNA from 1 species
UACGUAGGGUGCAAGCGUUAAUCGGAUUUACUGGGCGUAAAGCGUGCGCAGGCGGUUAUGCAAGCCAGAUGUGAAAUCCCCGGGCUCAACCUGGGAACUGCAUUUGUGACUGCAUGGCUAGAGUACGGUAGAGGGGGAUGGAAUUCCGCGUGUAGCAGUGAAAUGCGUAGAUAUGCGGAGGAACACCGAUGGCGAAGGCAAUCCCCUGGACCUGUACUGACGCUCAUGCACGGAAGCGUGGGGAGCAAACAGG